rnacentral:piRNA from 1 species
CAGUUCAGGCAGAUCGGAAACCACUGGCUGC